rnacentral:rRNA from 1 species
AGUGAACGCUGGCGGUAGGCCUAACACAUGCAAGUCGAACGGCAGCACAGUAAGAGCUUGCUCUUACGGGUGGCGAGUGGCGGAUGGGUGAGGAAUACAUCGGAAUCUACUUUUUCGUGGGGGAUAACGUAGGGAAACUUACGCUAAUACCGCAUACGACCUACGGGUGAAAGCAGGGGAUCUUCGGACCUUGCGCGAUUGAAUGAGCCGAUGUCGGAUUAGCUAGUUGGCGGGGUAAAGGCCCACCAAGGCGACGAUCCGUAGCUGGUCUGAGAGGAUGAUCAGCCACACUGGAACGGCGACACGGUCCAGACUCCUACGGGAGGCAGCAGUGGGGAAUAUUGGACAAUGGGCGCAAGCCUGAUCCAGCCAUACCGCUUGGGUGAAGAAGGCCUUCGGGUUGUAAAGCCCUUUUGUUGGGAAAGAAAAGCAGCAGGUUAAUACCCCGCUGUUCUGACGGUACCCAAAGAAUAAGCACCGGCUAACUUCGUG